UACGAAGGGGGCUAGCGUUGCUCGGAAUUACUGGGCGUAAAGCGCACGUAGGCGGCGAUUCAAGUUAGAUGUGAAAGGCCUGGGCUCAACCCGGGAACUGCAUUUGAUACUGAAUUGCUAGAGUCCAAGAGAGGGUAGUGGAAUUCCCAGUGUAGAGGUGAAAUUCGUAGAUAUUGGAAGAACACCAGUGGCGAAGGCGGCUACCUGGC
rnacentral:rRNA from 1 species